rnacentral:rRNA from 1 species
UACGUAGGGGGCGAGCGUUGUCCGGAAUUAUUGGGCGUAAAGAGCUUGUAGGCGGUCUGUCGCGUCUGCUGUGAAAAUCCGGGGCUCAACCCCGGACUUGCAGUGGGUACGGGCAGACUAGAGUGUGGUAGGGGAGACUGGAAUUCCUGGUGUAGCGGUGAAAUGCGCAGAUAUCAGGAGGAACACCGAUGGCGAAGGCAGGUCUCUGGGCCACUACUGACGCUGAGAAGCGAAAGCAUGGGGAGCGAACAGG